UCUAUAUACUGCUAAGUACCACCGUAUAAUUUACUGGCAUCCCUCCCUGGUGUUCAACUUAAAUAAAGGAAAGCCUGGGCCAAAGAUAGAAUCCAGACCUGAGUUUUCCCAUGUGCUCAAGGAACAGAGUUUGCACAUUGGCAAAGACAAGAAACUGAGUUUUUUCAUCUCAGAAUACAAUAGAACUUCAUUUGGCCUGAGUAAAACCAUCCUAAAGUAAUAAUUACUACACGAUGCAAACUCCAAAGUCACCAGGAAUUGGUCUGGGUGUUCCAGAUGCGGCUGGUAAUGACUUUGGGAUCUAGUUAGACUGCUGUUUGCUCAUGCGGGUUCUCUCCAGCAUGUUGUGUCAGUUUGACUAGAUGUGGUUUAGAUUUAACUAACAAUGUAUUAGCACAUGGCCUAUUUCUGGUCUUAUUGACUUUCAUCUUUACCUUUUUAAACUGUUUUUUGUUAACAUAGGAAGAGCAGAGGGGUUUUCUCAUAUAAUUUUGAAGCUGCUUUGGUUCAGUUCAAUUUCUUCAGAUUAUCUGUAAAUUUUCAAUAAUGGCAAUACAUUCAUUCUGCCAUUUGGAGGAGCCUGUGCCACAGAAUAAUGAUGUGAAGGAAGCUCACUUAUUUGCAAGGAAGAGUCCUCAUUUGGGAACAGUACAGCUGCAGCUAAGAGGUGCUUUGUCAAGUUCAGGUCUUUGACAUUCAGUGGGAUGAGAAUCUCAGAACAGACUGACUACUGGGGACUCCCAAGCUACAGUUCAGCUGGUCCCCGCUUUCUCCAGGGAGAGGGUAGCUCCGUUGUGUGUGUUGCAACAGUCCAGUGCAGUUUGUAACCUACAGCCUUAAAGUCACUCAGAACUGGCAAUAUAGACUGUGAGAGAAACAGGUGCAUCUGAAGUCCAUCGUCUUGUUUAAGAAAAAUGUUCAGUAAUCCCUGUAACUGGUGUCACAGGUAUCCUAAACAACUGGGGGCAAAUUUCUGCACCUCUUGAAUUUGUAAAGAAACCAUUUUGGUAGGUGAGGGCUGCUUGUCAGAAAUACAUACCAAAGCUUGAAUGCAAAACAAGCAUGAUAUUAAUGAUGGAUUUGGAUGGAUCUCUUAAGGAUAACAAUGGAUAUGGCAUCUUCAGAAGUAGUGGCAUUCAGGCCCUAAUCCUGCCACUGGAUUUGUUCCAAUGGACCUCGGUAGCCAUGGGGCCUGGCUGAGUCAGUGGGACCCUGGAUGACUGCAAGUUUCUACUCUGAAGAUGUGACUGUAGGCCUGAACCUAAAUUUCUGUCUUAUUCCCCUGUCUAUUUGCUUCUAAUUGAUGAAAAUUAUCCUACAAAACGGUAUUGUCGUCGAGUCUCAUGCACGUGUACUUUAGUAGCAUUCAGACACCGUGUGCUUGGGGUGUUGUCAGACAUCGUUAAAAUAUUUCUGCUGUCAUGUGCCAAAAACUCAGGAUUGCCAUGAUUAUUGUGUUAUAUUUUUACAUUCAGUGGCUUCCUACCUAAAACAGAGGAGAUUGUCACCUGUGUUUUCUAUCGUUGUGGUAUGUCUCUUAACUCAGAUUUUAAAGUCAGAGUAACUGUUGGGACUUAUUUUUAAAGGUGUUGGUAGAUUUGUUUUUUAUUUGUUGGACACAAAGUACAUCUAUUUUAUUUUAUUUUAUUUUUCAAUGUGCUAUUUUCUUAGUAGCCUACUAUUACUGAAAGCAUUCAACAUAAUGACACACUGUGAUGCAGACCAAUAAAAUAAAUAGGAAAAAGCAUUAACUUUUA